rnacentral:tRNA from 1 species
UUUCCGAAUCAAGUAGUCCAACUGACUGUUAAUCAUUGGGUCACAGGUUCGAGUCCUGUUCGGGGAGCCA